ACAGGGCGACAGGUGGUGCAUGGUUGUCGUCAGCUCGUGUCGUGAGAUGUUGGGUUAAGUCCCGCAACGAGCGCAACCCUCGCCUCUAGUUGCCAGCAUCGGUUGGGCACUCUAGAGGGACUGCCGGCGACAAGUCGGAGGAAGGUGGGGAUGACGUCAAAUCAUCAUGCCCCUUAUGACCUGGGCUACACACGUGCUACAAUGGGCGGUACAAAGGGCUGCGAACCCGCGAGGGGGAGCGAAUCCCAAAAAGCCGCUCUCAGUUCGGAUUGCAGGCUGCAACUCGCCUGCAUGAAGCCGGAAUCGCUAGUAAUCGCGGAUCAGCAUGCCGCGGUGAAUACGUUCCCGGGCCUU
rnacentral:rRNA from 1 species